rnacentral:rRNA from 1 species
AGUGAACGCUGGCGGCAGGCCUAAUACAUGCAAGUCGAACGGCAGCACAGCAGAGCUUGCUCUGUGGGUGGCGAGUGGCGGACGGGUGAGGAAUACAUGGGAAUCUGCCCAGUCGUGGGGGAUAACGUAGGGAAACUUACGCUAAUACCGCAUGCGCCCUUCGGGGGAAAGCCGGGGACCUUCGGCCCUGGCGCGAUUGGAUGAGCCCAUGUCGGGUUAGCUAGUUGGCGGGGUAAAGGCCCACCAAGGCGACGAUCCGUAGCGGGUCUGAGAGGACGAUCCGCAACACUGGAACGGAGACACGGUGCAGACUCCUACGGGAGGCAGCAGUAGGGAAUAUCAGACAAUGGGCGCAAGCCUGAUCCAGCCAUGCCGCGCGAGUGAAGAAGGUCCUCGGGUUGUAAAGCUCUUUUGUCCGGAAAGAAAAGCGCCGGGUUAAUACCCUGGUGUCCUGACGGUACCGGAAGAAUAAGCACCGGCUAACUUCGUGCCAGCCGCCGCGGUAAAAC